GUAAACAAGUAUAGCAAUAUAAAUGUUUUGAUUUUUGAUUUUCUCAUGUAUAAAUAGAAAUUAUGGAAAAACAAAGAGUAAAUGAGAAAUGUUUACCUUGUAAAAUAAUUACAGUAUCCUGUCUAACUAGUAUGGGAACUUACCUUAUUUACACCGCUAGAAAAUAUAAACAAAACGCUAAAAUAUUUACUACAAUCUUAGGAAGUGGAAUAGUUUGUUUAGGAAUAGGAGAAAUUUUCGACAAAAGCCCUUUUCGACAACACAGUCAAGACGUAUAAUUUAUUUUGCAUAUUUAGCAAUACAAGUAUCAGUUUAUACUCACAAUUAAUAAAAAAUUAAAUAAGA